GACGAACGCUGGCGGCGUGCUUAACACAUGCAAGUCGAGCGGUAAGGCCCUUUCGGGGGUACACGAGCGGCGAACGGGUGAGUAACACGUGGGUGACCUGCCCUCAGCUCUGGGAUAAGCCUGGGAAACCGGGUCUAAUACCGGAUAUGACUCCAUGACACAUGUUGUGGGGUGGAAAGCCUUGUGCGGCUGAGGAUGGGCCCGCGGCCUAUCAGCUUGUUGGUGGGGNGAUGGCCUACCAAGGCGACGACGGGUAGCCGGCCUGAGAGGGCGACCGGCCACACUGGGACUGAGACACGGCCCAGACUCCUACGGGAGGCAGCAGUGGGGAAUCUUGCGCAAUGGGCGAAAGCCUGACGCAGCGACGCCGCGUGAGGGAUGACGGCCUGGUGU
rnacentral:rRNA from 1 species